CAGUAGCCGCGGUAAUACAGAGGGUGCGAGCGUUAAUCGGAUUUACUGGGCGUAAAGCGUGCGUAGGCGGCUUUUUAAGUCGGAUGUGAAAUCACUGAGCUUAACUUAGGAAUUGCAUUCGAUACUGGGAAGCUAGAGUAUGGGAGAGGAUGGUAGAAUUCCAGGUGUAGCGGUGAAAUGCGUAGAGAUCUGGAGGAAUACCGAUGGCGAAGGCAGCCAUCUGGCCUAAUACUGACGCUGAGGUACGAAAGCAUGGGGAGCAAACAGGAUUAGAUACCCGAGUAGUCCCUGUCUCUUAUAC
rnacentral:rRNA from 1 species